GUAUAAUGGGUCAGCGACUUAUAUUCUGUAGCAAGGUUAACCGAAUAGGGGAGCCGAAGGGAAACCGAGUCUUAACUGGGCGUUAAGUUGCAGGGUAUAGACCCGAAACCCGGUGAUCUAGCCAUGGGCAGGUUGAAGGUUGGGUAACACUAACUGGAGGACCGAACCGACUAAUGUUGAAAAAUUAGCGGAUGACUUGUGGCUGGGGGUGAAAGGCCAAUCAAACCGGGAGAUAGCUGGUUCUCCCCGAAAGCUAUUUAGGUAGCGCCUCGUGAAUUCAUCUCCGGGGGUAGAGCACUGUUUCGGCAAGGGGGUCAUCCCGACUUACCAACCCGAUGCAAACUGCGAAUACCGGAGAAUGUUAUCACGGGAGACACACGGCGGGUGCUAACGUCCGUCGUGAAGAGGGAAACAACCCAGACCGCCAGCUAAGGUCCCAAAGUCAUGGUUAAGUGGGAAACGAUGUGGGAAGGCCCAGACAGCCAGGAUGUUGGCUUAGAAGCAGCCAUCAUUUAAAGAAAGCGUAAUAGCUCACUGGUCGAGUCGGCCUGCGCGGAAGAUGUAACGGGGCUAAACCAUGCACCGAAGCUGCGGCAGCGACGCUUAUGCGUUGUUGGGUAGGGGAGCGUUCUGUAAGCCUGCGAAGGUGUGCUGUGAGG
rnacentral:rRNA from 1 species